rnacentral:misc_RNA from 1 species
AUUCCAAAAAUCAGCAGGCAUCAACUGCAUUUUAUGGCAAGUUGGGAAGGGAUCAUCCAAAAGAACUAUAAAAUCAGAGAAAUUUGUUCUUUCAAGGAUCCUUUUCCCCCCCUCUAAUAGUGCAUCACCGAGAUAUAUUUUAUGGCCAUAAACAUUUAGAACUUCAUUUUAACACAACCAUGAUGACAGAAGAAUGACAUGGUUUUCACGUUCACAUUUAAAAAAAGAAUGACAAUACCAGUGAGCAAACAAACUAAUCUCUUAUAAUAAUUGUCUACUUCUGAUGCAGGCAGGUUCCCAACAAAAAUAUGCAAAAGUUUCAUGUGAUCUAUCUAAUAACACUGUGUUAUUUAGAAGCUAGGAAAGAGAUAAAAGGUUGAUGAGAAAAAGAGGAAAAUGAAACAAAGUUAGAGAGUACUUCUUCUAUUAUCACAUUGUCCAUAUCCAAAGAGUACAGAGAACAC